rnacentral:rRNA from 1 species
UACCAGCACCCCGAGUGGUCGGGACGUUUAUUGGGCCUAAAGCAUCCGUAGCCGGUUCUACGAGUCUUCCGUUAAAUCCAACUGCUUAACAGGUGGGCUGCGGAAGAUACUAUAGAGCUAGGAGGCGGGAGAGGCAAGCGGUACUCGAUGGGUAGGGGUAAAAUCCGUUGAUCCAUUGAAGACCACCAAUGGCGAAGGCGGCUUGCCAGAACGCGCUCGACGGUGAGGGAUGAAAGCUGGGGGAGCAAACCGG